rnacentral:sRNA from 1 species
CUGUAAUUACUAAUUGAUCGACGGUGGAUGCGUCCGGCACGGGCGCCUCAUCCACCCCGUGCCGAACAUGACCCGCCCGGUUGUCCCCCCGGGCGGGUC